UGAUGAAAGGAAAGAAAGAGUCAGCUUUAAACCAGACAACAGAGGCCACUCCCAGAGUACUAUCUCAGAUUUGCAAAUCUCAGCAUAAAAAGAAACCGCAGUAUGGUAAAAAGCUCAGGCAACCAUCGGGCAGACUUCAGGAAGUUUUGAUAUCAGGCGAAGAUCGGAGCAAAAGAUUCAAUCCACUGCAUGUGUAUAAUGUCUAUGUUCUAGGUGAGCUCCAGUUCUGAAGUUCAGCAAUGAAAGGAAACCCUUGUACAUAGGAGCAUACGGCACAUGACAAGAGGAUGCUUACGAUCUCCCCAUCUAAACAACCAUCACAGUCCUCGCCACCUUUCAUAGAUAGCCUAACUGAUGGUCGAACCUAAAGUGGACAACCAAAGUUUUCAUCAAUUGAAACCCAUGUCUGUUAUUAUGGAUGAACUUCACUGAGAGCUGCCCCAUAGUAAAACCACCAAUCCAUUAGCGCAAAUGACUGAAAUUAUGAAAUACCCCAAAAGAUAAUCGUACACAUGUAACAGAAGUAAUUUUUGAACUUCAUGCCAUUAAUGAGCUUUCCCGUGAAUGCAUUGAGUCACAGAUCCACUUGUAUAUGGAAUUUCUAAAGCAUAGUUACAGAUCCUCUGAUAUUUGAUUUCUUAGACAUAUCAAGUGGGAAUCAUGAGACCCUCAGUUUUGAGCUUGCCUUAGAAAUUGCAAACUGGGAUGGCCGAGUAUUAACUCCAAACCGACCCCUGCGAACUGGACCCAUCAUUUUUCCAGCAUUGAAUGGCCUAUCAGAACCUCUUCCACGUCGAGCAUUAACUCGACCUCUGCCUUUCCCUCUACUGCUCUUAAUAAUAUCAUCAAGAGACAUAUCAACAGAGGUGGCCAUUGAGUUCGACUGUUAUCUAUCGACAGAUACAGCACGCCCU
rnacentral:lncRNA from 1 species